rnacentral:rRNA from 1 species
GAAGCAACAAAUGCCCUGCUUCCAGGAAAAGCCUCUAAGCAUCAGGUAACAUCAAAUCGUACCCCAAACCGACACAGGUGGUCAGGUAGAGAAUACCAAGGCGCUUGAGAGAACUCGGGUGAAGGAACUAGGCAAAAUGGUGCCGUAACUUCGGGAGAAGGCACGCUGAUAUGUAGGUGAAGCGACUUGCUCGUGGAGCUGAAAUCAGUCGAAGAUACCAGCUGGCUGCAACUGUUUAUUAAAAACACAGCACUGUGCAAACACGAAAGUGGACGUAUACGGUGUGACGCCUGCCCGGUGCCGGAAGGUUAAUUGAUGGGGUUAGCGGUAACGCGAAGCUCUUGAUCGAAGCCCCGGUAAACGGCGGCCGUAACUAUAACGGUCCUAAGGUAGCGAAAUUCCUUGUCGGGUAAGUUCCGACCUGCACGAAUGGCGUAAUGAUGGCCAGGCUGUCUCCACCCGAGACUCAGUGAAAUUGAACUCGCUGUGAAGAUGCAGUGUACCCGCGGCAAGACGGAAAGACCCCGUGAACCUUUACUAUAGCUUGACACUGAACAUUGAGCCUUGAUGUGUAGGAUAGGUGGGAGGCUUUGAAGUGUGGACGCCAGUCUGCAUGGAGCCGACCUUGAAAUACCACCCUUUAAUGUUUGAUGUUCUAACGUUGGCCCGUUAUCCGGGUUGCGGACAGUGUCUGGUGGGUAGUUUGACUGGGGCGGUCUCCUCCUAAAGAGUAACGGAGGAGCACGAAGGUUGGCUAAUCCUGGUCGGACAUCAGGAGGUUAGUGCAAUGGCAUAAGCCAGCUUGACUGCGAGCGUGACGGCGCGAGCAGGUGCGAAAGCAGGUCAUAGUGAUCCGGUGGUUCUGAAUGGAAGGGCCAUCGCUCAACGGAUAAAAGGUACUCCGGGGAUAACAGGCUGAUACCGCCCAAGAGUUCAUAUCGACGGCGGUGUUUGGCACCUCGAUGUCGGCUCAUCACAUCCUGGGGCUGAAGUAGGUCCCAAGGGUAUGGCUGUUCGCCAUUUAAAGUGGUACGCGAGCUGGGUUUAGAACGUCGUGAGACAGUUCGGUCCCUAUCUGCCGUGGGCGCUGGAGAACUGAGGGGGGCUGCUCCUAGUACGAGAGGACCGGAGUGGACGCAUCACUGGUGUUCGGGUUGUCAUGCCAAUGGCACUGCCCGGUAGCUAAAUGCGGAAGAGAUAAGUGCUGAAAGCAUCUAAGCACGAAACUUGCCCCGAGAUGAGUUCUCCCUGACUCCUUGAGAGUCCUGAAGGAACGUUGAAGACGACGACGUUGAUAGGCCGGGUGUGUAAGCGCAGCGAUGCGUUGAGCUAACCGGUACUAAUGAGCCGUGAGGCUUAACCUUACAACGCCGAAG